rnacentral:rRNA from 1 species
CAGCCGCCGCGGGAAUACGGAGGGGGCUAGCGUUGUUCGGAAUUACUGGGCGUAAAGCGCGCGUAGGCGGCUUGGUAAGUUAGAGGUGAAAGCCUGGAGCUCAACUCCAGAAUUGCCUUUAAGACUGCCGAGCUAGCAGGUGAGAGAGGUAAGUGGAAUUCCGAGUGUAGAGGUGAAAUUCGUAGAUAUUCGGAAGAACACCAGUGGCGAAGGCGGCUUACUGGCUCAUACUGGACGCUGAGGUGCGAAAGCGUGGGGAGCAAACAGGAUUAGAUACCCGCGUAGUCCCUGUCUCUUAUAC